rnacentral:rRNA from 1 species
AUUGAACGCUGGCGGCAGGCUUAACACAUGCAAGUCGAGCGGAGAGAGGUAGCUUGCUACCGAUCUUAGCGGCGGACGGGUGAGUAAUGCUUAGGAAUCUGCCUAUUAGUGGGGGACAACACUUCGAAAGGAAUGCUAAUACCGCAUACGUCCUACGGGAGAAAGCAGGGGAUCUUCGGACCUUGCGCUAAUAGAUGAGCCUAAGUCGGAUUAGCUAGUUGGUGGGGUAAAGGCCUACCAAGGCGACGAUCUGUAGCGGGUCUGAGAGGAUGAUCCGCCACACUGGGACUGAAACACGGCCCAGACUCCUACGGGAGGCAGCAGUGGGGAAUAUUGGACAAUGGGCGCAAGCCUGAUCCAGCCAUGCCGCGUGUGUGAAGAAGGCCUUAUGGUUGUAAAGCACUUUAAGCGAGGAGGAGGCUACUUUAGAUAAUACCUAGAGAUAGUGGACGUUACUCGCAGAAUAAGCACCGGCUAACUCUGUGCCAGCCGCCGCUGUAAGAC